rnacentral:lncRNA from 1 species
GGGUUUGUUAACACGUGUACGUCUGUUUUUCAGUUGGUACGUUUUAACAAUGUGUACCGGAUUAUAGUAGAUAAAAAUACCCUCAUUUAUCAUGGAUUCUAAGUUUUAAGGUCAAGGAUAUUUAAAUAAUUUUCAUUCUCAAAACUAAAAAAGAAACCCCCAAACCCUUACUCACCUCCCUCAUUCCUCUCAACCCUUUCUCUUUCAUCUCUCUCGCUCCAACAUCAUUUUCUCUGUCAUUCCUAAUGUUGCUCCAAUUGAAAAAAAGAAAUCAGAAACACUUUGUCAUCAGAGAUAUUUUCUCUCUCAUCUCAACAUUUU